GUCACGGAUAACACCUCCCCUGUGUACAGCUAUCAGUUACUGACAGCUAUCUCUGUAUACACACUUACACAAGAAUGCUAUCAAUCACUGAUAACACCUCCCCUGUGUACAGCUAUCAGUGACUGACAGCUAUCCCUGUAUACACACUUACACAGAGAAUGCUAUCAGUCACGGAUAACACCUCCCCUGUGUACAGCUAUCAGUUACUGACAGCUAUCUCUGUAUACACACUUACACAAGAAUGCUAUCAAUCACUGAUAACACCUCCCCUGUGUACAGCUAUCAGUGACUGACAGCUAUCCCUGUAUACACACUUACACAGAAAAUGCUAUCAA